rnacentral:rRNA from 1 species
AGUGAACGCUGGCGGUAGGCCUAACACAUGCAAGUCGAACGGCAGCACAGGAGAGCUUGCUCUCUGGGUGGCGAGUGGCGGACGGGCGAGGAAUACAUCGGAAUCUACUCUGUCGUGGGGGAUAACGUAGGGAAACUUACGCUAAUACCGCAUACGACCUACGGGUGAAAGCAGGGGACCUUCGGGCCUUGCGCGAUUGAAUAAGCCGAUGUCGGAUUAGCUAGUUGGCGGGGUAAAGGCCCACCAAGGCGACGAUCCGUAGCUGGUCUGAGAGGAUGAUCAGCCACACUGGAACUGAGACACGGUCCAGACUCCUACGGGAGGCAGCAGUGGGGAAUAUUGGACAAUGGGCGCAAGCCUGAUCCAGCCAUACCGCAUGGGUGAAGAAGGCCUUCGGGUUGUAAAGCCCUUUUGUUGGGAAAGAAAUCCAGCUGGCUAAUACCCGGUUGGGAUGACGGUACCCAAAGAAUAAGCACCGGCUAACUUCGUGCCAGCAGCCGCGGUAA